rnacentral:rRNA from 1 species
UAUAGAGGUCCCAAGCGUUGUUCGGAUUCACUGGGCGUAAAGGGUGCGUAGGUGGUGAGGUAAGUCGGAUGUGAAAGCUCGGAGCUCAACUCCGAAAUGGCAUUGGAAACUACCUUGCUCGAGGGUUGGAGGGGGGACUGGAAUGCUUGGUGUAGCAGUGAAAUGCGUAGAUAUCAAGCGGAACACCAGUGGCGAAGGCGAGUCCCUGGACAACUCCUGACACUGAGGCACGAAAGCUAGGGGAGCAAACAGG